rnacentral:rRNA from 1 species
UACAGAGGGUGCGAGCGUUAAUCGGAAUUACUGGGCGUAAAGCGUGCGUAGACGGUUAUUUAAGUCGGGUGUGAAAGCCCCGGGCUCAACCUGGGAAUUGCAUUCGAGACUGAAUAGCUAGGGUACGGUAGAGGGAAGCGGAAUUUCCGGUGUAGCGGUGAAAUGCGUAGAUAUCGGAAGGAACACCAGUGGCGAAGGCGGCUACCUGGCCUAAUACUGACACUGAGGCACGAAGGCCAGGGGAGCAAACGGG